GCCGGCCCGGUGGCGGGGGCCUGUGAUCCCAGCGCCCGGGAGGCUGAGGCUGGCGGAUCCCUUGAGCUCGGGAGUUCUGGGCUGCAGGGGGCUGUGCCGAGCGGGUGUCCGCAUUGAGGGCAGCAUCGACAUGGGGGUGCUGAGGGUCCCCAGGUUGCCGAAGGAGGGGCAAACCAGCCCAGGUCAGGAAUGGAGCAGGUCAAAGCCUCCAUGCUGCUCAGUAGUGGGAUGGUGCCUGUGAACAGCCCCUGAGGGAGACCUGGCCACUUUUGAGCCCCCCCCCCCAAUCU
ensembl:misc_RNA Metazoa_SRP Metazoan signal recognition particle RNA